rnacentral:lncRNA from 1 species
UAAAUUACUGUGGCAUGCCUGUCAUGCCUUGUUUUCACCAAGGUCAACCAAAACAUGACUUUUUGGACUUUAAAAGAAUUAAAUUUUGUACAGAGUCGCCACCUAAUUUUAAGAAAAAUAAGAAAACCAUUUAUUCAUUAACACGUAUGAUUGAUGUUUUUAGUCUGUGAAAAACCUAUUGAGACUCUAGGUAAGGGUUUAA